rnacentral:rRNA from 1 species
UACGAAUGGAGCGAGCGUUGUUCGGAAUCACUGGGCGUAAAGGGUGCGCAGGCGGUCAUGAAAGUUAGAAGUGAAAUCCCAGGGCUCAACCCUGGAAUGGCUUUUAAAACUCCAUGACUAGAGUACUGGAGAGGUUGGCGGAAUUCCAAGUGUAGCAGUGAAAUGCGUAGAUAUUUGGAGGAACACCAAUGGCGUAGGCAGCCAACUGGACAGUAACUGACGCUCAUGCACGAAAGCGUGGGGAUCAAACAGG